GAUGAACGCUAGCGGCAGGCUUAAUACAUGCAAGUCGAGGGGCAGCAGGACGGUAGCAAUACCGUUGCUGGCGACCGGCAAACGGGUGCGGAACACGUACGCAACCUACCCAUAACUGGGGGAUAGCCCGGGGAAACCCGGAUUAAUACCUCGUAACAUCGAGAAGUGGCAUCACUUUUUGAUUAUAGCUCCGGCGGUUAUGGAUGGGCGUGCGCCUGAUUAGGUAGUUGGCGGGGUAACGGCCCACCAAGCCUGCGAUCAGUAACUGGUGUGAGAGCACGACCAGUCACACGGGCACUGAGACACGGGCCCGACUCCUACGGGAGGCAGCAGUAAGGAAUAUUGGUCAAUGGACGCAAGUCUGAACCAGCCAUGCCGCGUGAAGGAUGAAGGUCCUCUGGAUUGUAAACUUCUUUUAUAUGGGACGAAACCCGGGUAUUCCUACCCGAUUGACGGUACCAUAGGAAUAAGCACCGGCUAACUCCGUGCCAGCAGCCGCCGUAA
rnacentral:rRNA from 1 species